GGAUGUUGUGGAGAUGUAUUACUUGAAAAGAUUAUCAAGCUUAGGCACUGUCAGACUGAGAUGUCAAAAAUUAGGUGCAAGAAUAAAGUAAUAAAGAUCAGUAAGUCACCAGGACCUGAUAUUAAUUUGAGAAUUCUGAGGAAUUAAUUGCUGAGCAGCUAACAAAAAAUAUGAAAUCUCAUUAAAAUCAGCUACUAUACCAAAAGAUUGGAAGCUAGCAAAUGUGUAUUCAAAAUUCACUAGGAAUGAUCCUGGCACUUAUAGACCCAUGAUCCAUACUUCAGUAAAAGAGAAAUCGGUUGAAGAAAUAAUUAGAUUUUUAAAAAGUACAUACCAGCAUGGCUCUGCAAAAGAAAAUCUCUCUAGCCUACUAGAUUUUUUUUUUUUUUUUUACAAUGUCAACAGAAUAGUUGAUGAAGAAGACAAAGAGUUGGCAUAAUUUAUUUGGACUUUCAAUAAGCUUUUGAAAAAGUUCCUAACAAGAAGCUAUUAGGCAAACUAAUAAGUCAUGGGUCUGGAGGUAAAGUUUUGCCAUAGAUUAGUAACUGGCUAAGAGAAAGAAAACAGAGUAUCAAUAAAUGGUUAAUUUUCAAUAUUGUGAGUGGUUAAUAUUAGGGUUCCUAAAAAUCUGCUCUGGGGCUGGUUUUAAUGCGUUAAUAAAUGAUCUGUAAAUGAAAGUAAGGAGGCUAAAUUUAUAGGUGACAAAGAUUAUUUGUUUUUCAAGAUUAGGGAUGAUUGUGAGGAACUCCAAAGGGACCUACUAAAUCAGGUGAAUGGGCAGCAUGAUGGCAGAUAUAAUUCAGUAUUGACAAAUGGAAGAUGAGCUGUAAGAUGAGCUGUUUCCCUAAUUGCAAUACAUUGACUCUACCAUUCGGAGGAGCCUGUGCCACAGAAUGAUAAACUGAAGUUAUCCGGCAAAGAGGAGUCUUCACUUGUGAAACAGUCGGAACACAACCCAGAGGUCCUUGGUCAGUUCAGCUGCUGCCACUGCAGCCUUGAGGGGGUUCCCCUUCUACACCUGUGGAACACCUGAGCCAGAUAAGGAGGAGAAAGAAGAGGACUUGGAAAGACCUGUUCAGUGAGAUCCUCUGCUGCUUCAGACUGUGAACAAAGGGCCUGGAGGGUGAACAUUGCAGACAGCCUGAAGGAGGAAGAUGUGGACAGGUGGAAGGUUCAGGAGUCUCAGUAGAAAAGGGAGAUGCACCAAGACGUAAUGGGCCUUUUCUGGCAGCAAACACAAAUGCUGCAGUCUCUUGGGGACCUACAGGGUCACCUCCCUUUGCAGUCCAUGGAGAACUCCAUUAUAGCACCUCCUUGCAUCCUCAUCUCAACAUUGCACGUUGUAUCAGUGGCUACAUCCCUACACCUGCCACUCCACCUCUCAGGACAUUAAGGACAACCACAGCUUCACAUACACUGAGCUAGGAAAGCCAUGAUUGCUGUACGUGUAGGUAAAGUUGACAAAUGUUUUUUUCCUUGUUAAGUUCUGUUCCAUUAAUUUUAUUAAUUUUUUUAUGUAUUUACUUUUGAAUUGCACAGCUUUUUCUUUCCACUGGUUUUGUUAAUGAAUAAAAUUC